rfam:Ictidomys tridecemlineatus contig015518, whole genome shotgun sequence.
GGGAUUGUGGCUCAGUGGCAGAGCACUCGCCUAGCAUGCGCGGGGACCUGGGUUCAAUCCUUAGCACCA